UACAGAGGGUGCGAGCGUUAAUCGGAAUUACUGGGCGUAAAGCGCGCGUAGGCGGCUUUGUAAGUUAGAGGUGAAAGCCUGGAGCUCAACUCCAGAACUGCCUUUAAGACUGCAUCGCUAGAAUCGUGGAGAGGUGGGUGGAAUUCCGAGUGUAGAGGUGAAAUUCGUAGAUAUUCGGAAGAACACCAGUGGCGAAGGCGACUCACUGGACACGUAUUGACGCUGAGGUGCGAAAGCGUGGGGAGCAAACAGG
rnacentral:rRNA from 1 species